AGCUACGAGCAUCCAUCAUCCGUGCAUGGCCAGCUUCGUCCACCGUACCAUGGAUCUAUCUAGCCUAGCUUGGUUAAACAUCGACGGUCUCAAGACGUGCGUGUAUGCGUGUGUGUGUGCUUGCAGGGAAGCUCUACCAUGACAUGAGCACGGCGGGCGGGCUGGUGGCCGUGGCGCUGGCACACGCGCUGGCGCUGGCCGUGGCGGUGUCCGUGGCCGUGAACAUCUCCGGGGGCCACGUCAACCCGGCCAUCACCUUCGGCGCGCUGCUCGGCGGCCGCAUCACCCUCGUGCGCGCCCUCUUCUACUGGAUCGCGCAGCUCCUCGGCGCCAUCGUCGCCUCCCUCCUCCUCCGCCUCACCACCGGAGGCAUGGUACUACUAUCUUUCUUCGAUCUUCCUCGCCAGCACCAUCUAUCUAAUUAAUCACAGCAGAAGCUAAUUAAUCGAUCUUGUGAUGGCGUUCGCAGCGGCCGCCCGGUUUCUCCCUGGCGUCGGGGGUGGGGGACUGGCACGCGGUGCUGCUGGAGGCGGUGAUGACGUUCGGCCUCAUGUACGCCUACUACGCGACGCUGAUCGACCCCAAGAGGGGCCACGUGGGCACCAUCGGGCCGCUCGCCGUGGGGUUCCUGCUCGGGGCUAACAUACUCGCCGGCGGGCCGUUCGAUGG
rnacentral:lncRNA from 1 species